GGAAUCUUCCACAAUGGACGCAAGUCUGACGGAGCAACGCCGCGUGAGUGAAGAAGGUCUUCGGAUCGUAAAACUCUGUUGUUAGAGAAGAACACGAGUGAGAGUAACUGUUCAUUCGAUGACGGUAUCUAACCAGCAAGUCACGGCUAACUACGCGCCAG
rnacentral:rRNA from 1 species